rnacentral:misc_RNA from 1 species
GAUGAAGAACGUAGUGAAAUGCGAUAAGUAGUGUGAAUUGCAGAAUUCAGCGAAUCAUCGAAUCUUUGAACGCACAUUGCGCCCUUCGGUUAUUCCUUAGGGCAUGCCUGUUCGAGCGUCAUUUCAACCUUCAAGCCUGGCUUGGUGUUGGGCGCUGUCCCGCCUCCGCGCGCGGACUCGCCCCAAAUGAAUUGGCAGUCGCACCCUCCGAGCCGCGAGCGCAGCACAAGUCGCGCGGGCGGAACUCUGGGGGGACGGACGCUCCACAAGACCCUUUCUCAGUCUUGACCUCGGAUCAGGUAGGGAUACCCGCUGAACUUAAGCAUAUCAAUAAGCGGAGGA